UUCCUGAAUACUGUUGCUGACUCUAAUAA
rnacentral:piRNA from 1 species